UACAGGGGGGGCAAGCGUUGUUCGGAAUUACUGGGCGUAAAGGGUUCGUAGGUGGCCACUUAAGUCAGACGUGAAAUCCCUCAGCUUAACUGGGGAACUGCGUCUGAUACUGAGUGGCUUGAGUGCAGGAGAGGAAUGCGGAAUUCCAGGUGUAGCGGUGAAAUGCGUAGAUAUCUGGAGGAACACCGGUGGCGAAGGCGGCAUUCUGGACUGUAACUGACGCUGAGGCACGAAAGUGUGGGGAUCAAACAGG
rnacentral:rRNA from 1 species